rnacentral:rRNA from 1 species
GAUGAAGAACGUAGCGAAAUGCGAUACUUGGUGUGAAUUGCAGAAUCCCGUGAACCAUCGAGUCUUUGAACGCAAGUUGCGCCCGAAGCCUUUAGGCCAAGGGCACGUCUGCUUGGGCGUCACGCAUCGCGUCGCCCCCAAGCCAUGCUCAUCGAG